AUUUGGACGUACACACUCUGAGUUUUGUUUUUAUCUCAUUACCUUAUGACUCUGACUACUACAUCUCUAAAAUAGGCUACAGGAUAAUCAGGGAAGACCACUCCAGCUGGAGGGAGUUACUGGUGCAAAUGUCAGAGUGCCCAAGCAUGCCAAGAAGAAGAAAAGUCAUUACUGUAUGAGCAUUAACAUAGGUGGUUCUAAAUCACAUCACAGCUGUCAUUCUUGUUGUGUCAGUCAAGGAAUCUGAUGAAACAUAGAACAAUUUCAGACAGGCCAAGGCCUCCUAUGAGAAAUCCCACUCGUGUGCACUGUGAUCAGGCAUUGCCUUGCUGUGAUAAUAACUCCCCUGGGCCGAGAGCUACAAUAAAAAGAAAACGAAGAUAAAGAAACAGAGGGAAACAGAAACCAUCCAUAAUCCUACUCCUUCAAAGACAGCUACAGUCAAAUUCU